AUGAAUCUGCCAGAUCAAGGAACCAUGUCGUUGGACAACGCUCGCUGAUGAUAAGAAAUUGGUUCAUUUCAUCAACAUAUGGGGUGAUACAUCAUCAACCGAAUGGGAUAAGGCUUGGUCUAGUUUUAAGAAGAAAGGGAAGAAGACCCUAUUCUCAGAGUUCUCACCGAACAAAUAUGUGACCUGUAACCCACGGCGCAUUGAGUAUCCAUUGUCAGAAGAAGUCGAUCCAAUCAAAAGAGCCGAGAGGUCUAACUUGAUGUUGUGAACAAGCCCAAUAUGUACCUUAGUAGGGGUGAUUAUCUUCGUUUCGGCAUUUCUUAUCUAUACAUUGGUUGUCCCACCCAAGUAACAGGUGAGCUGUAGGCCAAAGAUUCUACUUGGAAGUCUGUAUUGUACAUUUAGUUUGUACUAUACCAAGUAUAAUCAUGGUUCUGUAUUGCUUCAAGCACAUUGUAAUAGAUCAUAAUACAGAACUCCUUCCAUUUUGGUGA